rnacentral:rRNA from 1 species
AAUUUUGGACAAUGGGUGCAACCCUGAUCCAGCCAUCCCUCGUGUGCGAUUAAUGCCUUCGGGUUGUAAAUCACUUUUGGCAGGGAAGAAAGGGCGCCGGAUAAUACCUGGCGCCGCUGACGGUACCUGAAGAAUAAGCACCGGCUAACUACGUGACAGCAGCCGCGGUAAUACGUAGGGUGCAAGCGUUAAUCGGAAUUACUGGGCGUAAAGCGUGCGCAGGCGGUUCGGAAAGAAAGAUGUGAAAUCCCAGGGCUUAACCUUGGAACUGCAUUUUUGACUGCCGGGCUAGAGUAUGUCAGAGGGGGGUAGAAUUCCACGUGUAGCAGUGAAAUGCGUAGAGAUGUGGAGGAAUACCGAUGGCGAAGGCAGCCCCCUGGGAUAAUACUGACGCUCAUGCACGAAAGCGUGGGGAGCAAAC